rnacentral:rRNA from 1 species
AGUGAACGCUGGCGGUAGGCCUAACACAUGCAAGUCGAACGGCAGCACAGUAAGAGCUUGCUCUUACGGGUGGCGAGUGGCGGACGGGUGAGGAAUACAUCGGAAUCUACUUUUUCGUGGGGGAUAACGUAGGGAAACUUACGCUAAUACCGCAUACGACCUACGGGUGAAAGCAGGGGAUCUUCGGACCUUGCGCGAUUGAAUGAGCCGAUGUCGGAUUAGCUAGUUGGCGGGGUAAAGGCCCACCAAGGCGACGAUCCGUAGCUGGUCUGAGAGGAGGAUCAGCCACACUGGAACUGAGACACGGUCAAGACUCCUACGGGAGGCAGCAGUGGGGAAUAUUGGACAAAGGGCGCAAGCCUGAUCCAGCCAUACCGCGUGGGUGAAGAAGGCCUUCGGGUUGUAAAGCCCUUUUGUUGGGAAAGAAAAGCAGCAGGUUAAUACCCCGCUGUUCUGACGGUACCCAAAGAAUAAGCACCGGCUAACUUCGUG